GUCCUUUCUACUGUCAGACAGAAAGGAUGCUCACAUGAGAACUUAGUGCUCUCCUCCUAAAGGCAAGGACACACAGGUGGCACCAUCAUCUGCAGGCUCCUGGACUGUGUUUGCUGGCUUAGUUCAUCCUGCCAGCACAAACCUGCCUUGGGUUAACUGUUAGGUGGGUCACUAAGCCCAGCCAGGAAUGCUACACAUUGCAAUGGUUGCAUUGGAGCGCACACGUCGCUUUACCUCGAGCUGCUUAACAACCAACUAAACGCAUACCAGACAUCUGCAACAGCACCAACAGAGGCAUCUCGGAGGGCUGUGUGUGAGCUGCGAGCAUCGCUUCCCUCGUCCCUCAACGCGGAGACGGCUGUUGCGCGGGAGCUGCUGUGGACGCGAAGCCCGCCCAGCCUCUCCUCACACAGAGGCGGCCGUUAACGGUCGCGGCGCGUGCACCCACAGCU
ensembl:lncRNA